UCCCUGGUGGCUCAGCAGUAGAGAAUCUGCCUGCAAGGCAGGAGACCUGGGUUCAACCCCUGGGUUGGGAA
rnacentral:tRNA from 1 species